rfam:Musca domestica strain aabys unplaced genomic scaffold Scaffold18674, whole genome shotgun sequence.
UUAUUUGAAGACCGUGGAUUGUUGCAAAGUAUGUAUUUUCCAAAGCAUAUUGCACAAUCCCCGGCCUGUAAAUAA